rnacentral:snoRNA from 1 species
UUCGGCGAAACACGGUAGAGGCCAGGCAUCCUCUCUAUGAGAAGCCUUCAAGUAAGGGGGCUCACUUGGGCUAUCCAAGCCUCACACUG